rnacentral:rRNA from 1 species
GUAAUUUGCAGAGGAUGCUUCGGGUGCGGUCCCCGUCUAAGUGCCCUGGAACGGGCCGUCAUAGAGGGUGAGAAUCCCGUCUGGGAUGGGCGGCCGCGCCCGUGUGAAGCUCCUUCGACGAGUCGAGUUGUUUGGGAAUGCAGCUCUAAGCGGGUGGUAAAUUUCAUCUAAAGCUAAAUACUGGCCGGAGACCGAUAGCGCACAAGUAGAGUGAUCGAAAGAUGAAAAGCACUUUGAAAAGAGAGUUAAACAGCACGUGAAAUUGUUGAAAGGGAAGCGUUGUCCACCAGACUCGCCCGGGGGGGUUCAGCCGGCACGUGUGCCGGUGUACUCCUCUCCGGGCGGGCCAGCAUCGGUUUGGGCGGCUGGUGAAAGGCCCCGGGAAUGUAACACCCUCCGGGGUGCCUUAUAGCCCGGGGUGCCAUACAGCCAGCCUGGACCGAGGCCCGCGCUUCGGCGAGGAUGCUGGCGUAAUGGUGGUCAACGGCCCGUCUUGAAACACGGACCAAGGAGUCUAACAUCUAUGCGAGUGUUCGGGUGUCAAACCCGUCCGCGCAGUGAAAGCGAACGGAGGUGGGAGCCCCUCGGGGCGCACCAUCGACCGAUCCUGAUGUCUUCGGAUGGAUUUGAGUAAGAGCAUAGCUGUUGGGACCCGAAAGAUGGUGAACUAUGCCUG